rnacentral:rRNA from 1 species
GACGGAGGAUGCAAGUGUUAUCCGGAAUCACUGGGCGUAAAGCGUCUGUAGGUGGUCAAAUAAGUCAACUGUUAAAUCUUGAGGCUCAACCUCAAAAUCGCAGUCGAAACUAUUAGACUAGAGUAUAGUAGGGGUAAAGGGAAUUUCCAGUGGAGCAGUGAAAUGCGCAGAGAUUGGAAAGAACACCGAUGGCGAAGGCACUUUACUGGGCUAUUACUAACACUCAGAGACGAAAGCUAGGGUAGCAAAUGGG